rfam:Fusarium oxysporum f. sp. cubense race 4 unplaced genomic scaffold scaffold6, whole genome shotgun sequence.
UCCGGUAUGGUGUAGUGGCUAACAUUUCGCGCUCUCAAAAUCUGAGGGAUUAGUUCCGCGGAGCCCAGGGUUCGAUUCCCUGUACCGGAG